UGAGCAGGCGGCAGAUUAAGUUUGAGGUUAAAGCGUGGGGCUCAACCCCAUAAAGCCUUGAAAACUGAUCAGCUAGAGUACGAGAGAUGUGAAGGGAACUCCAUGUGUAGCGGUGAAAUGCGUAGAUAUAUGGAAGAACACCAGUGGCGAAGGCGCUUCACAAGCUCGAAACUGACGCUCAGUCACGAAAGCGUGGGUAGCAAAUAG
rnacentral:rRNA from 1 species